GAUGAACGUUGGCGGCGUGCCUAACACAUGCAAGUCGAGCGGGGAGAGCCUUCGGGCUUUUCCAGCGGCGGACGGGUGAGUAACGCGUGAGCAACCUUUCCUACACAGGGGGAUAACGCAGCGAAAGCUGUGCUAAUACCGCAUAAGACCACAAUGUCACAUGGCAAAGGGGUCAAAGGAGAAAUCCGGUGAAGGGUGGGCUCGCGUCUGAUUAGCUAGUUGGCGGGGUAACGGCCCACCAAGGUAACGAUCAGUAGCCGACCUGAGAGGGUGAUCGGCCACACUGGGACUGAGACACGGCCCAGACUCCUACGGGAGGCAGCAGUGGGGAAUAUUGGGCAAUGGGCGAAAGCCUGACCCAGCAACGCCGCGUGAGGGAAGAAGGUUUUCGGAUCGUAAACCUCUGUCCUUGGGGACGAAUAAAUGACGGUACCCAAGGAGGAAGCCCCGGCUAACUACGUGCCAGCAGCCGCGGUAACUAGUCUACG
rnacentral:rRNA from 1 species